CCCUUAGAGUUUGAUCCUGGCUCAGGACGAACGCUGGCGGCAUGCCUAACACAUGCAAGUCGAACGGAGAUUACUUCGGUAAUCUUAGUGGCGAACGGGUGAGUAACGCGUGGGCAACCUGCCCUCUAGAUGGGGACAACAUCCCGAAAGGGGUGCUAAUACCGAAUGUGACAGCAAUCUCGCAUGAGGAUGCUGUGAAAGAUGGCCUCUAUUUAUAAGCUAUCGCUAGAGGAUGGGCCUGCGUCUGAUUAGCUAGUUGGUGGGGUAACGGCCUACCAAGGCGAUGAUCAGUAGCCGGUCUGAGAGGAUGAACGGCCACAUUGGGACUGAGACACGGCCCAGACUCCUACGGGAGGCAGCAGUGGGGAAUCUUCCGCAAUGGGCGAAAGCCUGACGGAGCAAUGCCGCGUGAGUGAUGAAGGAAUUCGUUCCGUAAAGCUCUUUUGUUUAUGACGAAUGUGCAAGUUGUGAAUAAUGA
rnacentral:rRNA from 1 species